CUACGGGGUGCACCAGUGAGGAAUAUUGCACAAUGGGGGGAACCCUGAUGCAGCAACGCCGCGUGGAGGAUGACGCAUUUCGGUGUGUAAACUCCUUUUAUAUGACAAGAAAAUGACGGUAGCAUAUGAAUAAGCACCGGCUAACUCCGUGCCAGCAGCCGCGGUAAUACGGAGGGUGCAAGCGUUACUCGGAGUCACUGGGCGUAAAGGACGCGUAGGCGGGUUGGAAAGUCAGGUGUGAAAUCCUACAGCUUAACUGUAGAACUGCACUUGAAACUUCUAAUCUAGAGUAUGGGAGGGGGAGAUGGAAUUAGUGGUGUAGGGGUAAAAUCCGUAGAUAUCACUAGGAAUACCUAAAGCGAAGGCGAUCUCCUGGAACAUUACUGACGCUAAGGCGUGAAAGCGUGGGGAACAAACAGGAUUAGAUACCCGUGUAGUC
rnacentral:rRNA from 1 species